GAUGAAGAACGCAGCGAAAUGCGAUACGUAGUGUGAAUUGCAGAAUUCAGUGAAUCAUCGAAUCUUUGAACGCACAUUGCACCUCUCGGUAUUCCAUGGGGCAUGCCUGUUCGAGCGUCAUUUGUACCUUCAAGCUUUGCUUGGUGUUGGGUGUUUGUCUCGCCUCUGCGUGUAGACUCGCCUUAAAACAAUUGGCAGCCGGCGUAUUGAUUUCGGAGCGCAGUACAUCUCGCGCUUUGCACUCAUAACGACGACGUCCAAAAGUACAUUUUUACACUCUUGACCUCGGAUCAGGUAGGGAUACCCGCUGAACUUAAGCAUAUCAAUAAGCGGAGGA
rnacentral:misc_RNA from 1 species